rnacentral:rRNA from 1 species
AUUGAACGCUGGCGGCAUGCCUAACACAUGCAAGUCGAGCGAGCGGCGGACGGGUGAGUAAUGUCUGGGAAACUGGCUGAUGGAGGGGGAUAACUACUGGAAACGGUAGCUAAUACCGCAUACCCUCAGAUGUGCCCAGAUGGGAUUAGCUAGUAGGGGGGGUAACGGCUCACCUAGGCGACGAUCCCUAGCUGGUCUGAGAGGAUGACCCGCCACACUGGAACUGAGACACGGUCCAGACGCCUACGGGAGGCAGCAGUGGGGAAUAGUGCACAAUGGGCGCAAUCCUGAUGCAGCCAUGCCGCGUGUAUGAAGAAGGCCUUCGGGUUGUAAAGUACUUUCAGCGGGGAGGCGUUACCCGCAGAAGAAGCACCGGCUAACUCCGUGCCAGCAGCCGCGGUAAUUC